rnacentral:rRNA from 1 species
AGAGUUUGAUCCUGGCUCAGAACGAACGCUGGCGGCAUGCCUAACACAUGCAAGUCGAACGAGACCUUCGGGUCUAGUGGCGCACGGGUGCGUAACGCGUGGGAAUCUGCCCUGGGGUACGGAAUAACUCAGAGAAAUUUGAGCUAAUACCGUAUGAUGACGUAAGUCCAAAGAUUUAUCGCCCUGGGAUGAGCCCGCGUAGGAUUAGCUUGUUGGUGAGGUAAAGGCUCACCAAGGCGACGAUCCUUAGCUGGUCUGAGAGGAUGAUCAGUCACACUGGGACUGAGACACGGCCCAGACUCCUACGGGAGGCAGCAGUGGGGAAUAUUGGACAAUGGGCGAAAGCCUGAUCCAGCAAUGCCGCGUGAGUGAUGAAGGCCUUAGGGUUGUAAAGCUCUUUUACCCGGGAAGAUAAUGACUGU